rnacentral:rRNA from 1 species
CCUACGGGAGGCAGCAGUGAGGAAUAUUGGUCAAUGGCCGGGAGGCUGAACCAGCCAAGCCGCGUGAAGGACGAAUGUGCCAAGCAUUGUAAACUUCUUUUAUAAAGGGACAAAAUCAGGCACGAGAGCCUGACCGUGGGUACUUGAAGAAAAAGCAUCGGCUAACUCCGUGCCAGCAGCCGCGGUAAUACGGAGGAUGCGAGCGUUAUCCGGAUUUAUUGGGUUUAAAGGGUGCGUAGAGGGGCUGUUAAGUCAGGGGUGAAAGCCCGGGGCUCAACCCCGGGGAGCCGUUGAAACUGGGUGCCUUGAGAUGUCGUGAGGUAUGCGGAAUUCGCAGUGUAGCGGUGAAAUGCUUAGAUAGUGCGCAGAACUCCGAUUGCGAAGGCAGCAUACCGGCGGCGAUCUGACGCUGAGGCACGAAAGCGUGGGUAUCGAACAGGAUUAGAUACCCCUGUAGUC